AGAGUUUGAUCAUGGCUCAGAUUGAACGCUGGCGGCAGGCCUAACACAUGCAAGUCGAGCGGUAGCACAGAGAGCUUGCUCUCGGGUGACGAGCGGCGGACGGGUGAGUAAUGUCUGGGAAACUGCCUGAUGGAGGGGGAUAACUACUGGAAACGGUAGCUAAUACCGCAUAAUGUCGCAAGACCAAAGUGGGGGACCUUCGGGCCUCAUGCCAUCAGAUGUGCCCAGAUGGGAUUAGCUUGUAGGUGGGGUAACGGCUCACCUAGGCGACGAUCCCUAGCUGGUCUGAGAGGAUGACCAGCCACACUGGAACUGAGACACGGUCCAGACUCCUACGGGAGGCAGCAGUGGGGAAUAUUGCACAAUGGGCGCAAGCCUGAUGCAGCCAUGCCGCGUGUGUGAAGAAGGCCUUCGGGUUGUAAAGCACUUUCAGCGGGGAGGAAGGCGUUGAGGUUAAUAACCUUGUCGAUUGACGUUACCCGCAGAAGAAGCACCGGCUAACUCCGUGCCAGCAGCCGCGGUAAUACGGAGGGUGCAAGCGUUAAUCGGAAUUACUGGGCGUAAAGCGCACGCAGGCGGUCUGUCAAGUCGGAUGUGAAAUCCCCGGGCUCAACCUGGGAACUGCAUUCGAAACUGGCAGGCUAGAGUCUUGUAGAGGGGGGUAGAAUUCCAGGUGUAGCGGUGAAAUGCGUAGAGAUCUGGAGGAAUACCGGUGGCGAAGGCGGCCCCCUGGACAAAGACUGACGCUCAGGUGCGAAAGCGUGGGGAGCAAACAGGAUUAGAUACCCUGGUAGUCCACGCCGUAAACGAUGUCGAUUUGGAGGUUGUGCCCUUGAGGCGUGGCUUCCGGAGCUAACGCGUUAAAUCGACCGCCUGGGGAGUACGGCCGCAAGGUUAAAACUCAAAUGAAUUGACGGGGGCCCGCACAAGCGGUGGAGCAUGUGGUUUAAUUCGAUGCAACGCGAAGAACCUUACCUGGUCUUGACAUCCACAGAACUUUCCAGAGAUGGAUUGGUGCCUUCGGGAACUGUGAGACAGGUGCUGCAUGGCUGUCGUCAGCUCGUGUUGUGAAAUGUUGGGUUAAGUCCCGCAACGAGCGCAACCCUUAUCCUUUGUUGCCAGCGGUUCGGCCGGGAACUCAAAGGAGACUGCCAGUGAUAAACUGGAGGAAGGUGGGGAUGACGUCAAGUCAUCAUGGCCCUUACGACCAGGGCUACACACGUGCUACAAUGGCAUAUACAAAGAGAAGCGACCUCGCGAGAGCAAGCGGACCUCAUAAAGUAUGUCGUAGUCCGGAUUGGAGUCUGCAACUCGACUCCAUGAAGUCGGAAUCGCUAGUAAUCGUAGAUCAGAAUGCUACGGUGAAUACGUUCCCGGGCCUUGUACACACCGCCCGUCACACCAUGGGAGUGGGUUGCAAAAGAAGUAGGUAGCUUAACCUUCGGGAGGGCGCUUACCACUUUGUGAUUCAUGACUGGGGUGAAGUCGUAACAAGGUAACCGUAGGGGAACCUGCGGUUGGAUCACCU
rnacentral:rRNA from 1 species